UCUUCUUCUGGGCCACCAAACUUCAUCACUAUGUUCUGGGCUCUUUGUCUUAGUAUCUUGGUGGUGUGGUCCAAAGGAUCAACCUCACAGAGUGUUGUGUCUCAGCCUCCAUCAGCCUCAGUGUCCCUAGGAAACACAGCGAAACUGGCCUGCAUCUUGGGCGGUGGGCUCAGCAUUGGCAGCUACAGGAUACGUUGGUACCAACAGAAGUCUCCAAGUUCUCCACGAUUUCUCUUACACUACCACACAGAUUCGGACAAGGGACAAGAGUCUGGGGUUCCCUCUCGAUUCUCCGGUUCCAAAGACACCUCCACAAAUACCAGCUAUUUAACCAUUUCUGGAGUUAUGAGCGAAGAUGAGGCUGAUUAUUAUUGUGCCACCUGGCACAGCAACACGUUUCACAGUGAUACCUUCUGAUGGAGAAGUGAGACAAAAACUGUCCUUCCCAUUUCUACAGCACGUUGCUUCUGAAAAGCAAAAUCUCUCCUUAAGGUUUUUUUUUUUUCC